UACAUCGUCACCCCUCCAAAGCUCAAGGAACAUCAUAGAAGAGGGAGAUGAAAGAACAAAGAGCUGGAGGAGAAAGGACAGAGUGCCGCGGAAUGCUGUCUUCCGGGAAUAGCACGGGCUUUGUACUGAGAACUCACAGCAGCUGUGAAUACCUGCUUAAGACGGGCACAAGGUCAGACCUGCCAGCACCCGUCAUGGAGGAAGAGGGGCUCAUGAAACCCCAGGCUUCCCCGAGAAUCUAGAAGCAGUUCAGUGAACGGCGGCGGGGAAAGAAAGUACUGGAUAUCAUUAAGGGCAAUAUAUACUGUUUUCAAAACCUGAAACAUGAACCUGGCAUAGGAACACAAGCCUGAAAUUCCAGCACUUGAGAGGCAGAGCAAAGGAGAUCAUGGGAUCGAGUCCAGAUGGGUCUGCAUUACAAGAUGCAAGACUCUGUCGAGAGGAGCAGAAGCCGGAGCAGGAACAUGAGGAGGAAGACGUUGUUAGAAUCAUGUUAGGUCAAUAAGUGGCUUCGGAAUCUGAUCCUUCCUGUAUGUUCCGUAUCUCUGAAGACAGGCGGCUUCUCAGGAUGCUUCAGUAGAAAGCUUGGAAACCCCAGAGCCUAGAGUCAAAUCACUGAUCACCCUGUCUGGCAACUACCCUCUGAGGACACAGAAAGAACUUGGAAGAGAAGGUCCUUCAUUCCCAAAGCAGGGUUUCAGGUGUUGAAGUGCCAACCAACCACGAUGUACAGAAUGAAGACAUUUGUCUCGUCCAAGAAAUUAGACCCUUAGAAAACAAAGCCCAGACGAGGCAGCAGGGAUUCAGAAAGAAUGAAGGAAAGUCAAGUGCUCCUCCAAAAGGAGAGUGGAGGAAAAGCCAAUGAACUCCUGCCUCCUCUGAUGCAAGGACCCAUGCCAGCUUUAUGUCAGAAUAAGGGAACUAAGGAUGCCAGCCACACAGUCCCGAAACCCACUCGGAGUUUUGCUGUGCAAUCUCGCCAAGCUGGGUUUGCUGCUGGGAUUUUUUUUUUAUCUCAUGUAACAGAGCAGGUAGGCUCUCACAGGUAUCUGAAAAUGAUGUUCACAAAAGUGAAUUAUAUACCUCUCAGAGAAGAGGUGGGCAGGGUCAGUACCCAGACUGUGAGCCUCAGUUGCUGCCCUGGAGUUUAAAACAGCUCCAAUACUCUCUAAUAUAUGCUUGGAGCUUGCUGGCCACAAGAGGAAGUGUGGGACUAUUGCUGGAGACACUUUCACUCCCCUCAGAUGAUUCAACUCUAGACCUCCGUGGACAUUUCAGCGUGUUCCCAGACCUCAACACAUGACUCUCCUGCAGGGGAAUUUCCGAUACUGACUUCGGGAGGGUCCGCUCUUGGUUUGUGCCAAAUCCAAGGUGAGUUGCAGCCAGAACUUCUGGACUCCAUUGGUGCACCCCACUCUUCCAGUAUGUAGAACUGAAGACCCAGCAUUGGCCUAGGAAGCUCUGCUCUGCAGACUUCCGAGAGAACAAACUGCCCACUAGUGGACCACAUCUCCCCAGAGGUUAUCCACUAAGCCUGAACUCCCAGACUCCACGCAGGCUUUGAAGAGCUCUCUGAAGUCCAUCUCACUCCUCUUCUUAUCUAGCAAUGCUUCGCAAUCCAUGAGCUCUAAAUCCUAGAACUGGAGCCCUAGAACAUUCUAAUGAGACAGAAUGACUAAUAUAAGACCGACCCCCUUAUUUGUUUGCUAGUUUUGUUGUUUGUCUUUAGGUGAAUAGCAAAACACAAUUGCACUUUUUCUAAAGCUUGCACUUUUCUCAAGUUUUCCAUUUGGAUGCUAUGCGUAAAGCCUACCCUUUGUGACCCCAGCUAGUCAUUAUCAUUAUGAACAAGGAAAUCGAGCAGAUGUCUAUUUGGAUAAUGAUGCUGACUCAGUAACCUAGGGAACACUCUUGUGGAGAAAGGAGCUGCAGUAAACACUAUGUACGUGAUCAGUAACUAGCCUGAAUGGGGCAGAACUGGAGCUCACUGGAGACAUUGUAUCAGCUCCGUUGGAGGUAAUGAGAUGUGCAUGUGUCUGUGUCUAUGUGCUCAGCUGCACGUUUGCAGUGUGUCCAUUUAGAAGAAAUGGAAUCCCUCGUUUCCAUUUGGUUUUCCUGCAAUAAAUAAAACCUGUCUUAUUAUAAGGACAAAGCACCUCACAUACACUACCUUAGCAUUUCUUACAGGAUCCUAGCGAAGUUUACAUGGUCAGGAGUCACUCUUCCCAGAACCAGUGUCCCGCAAUCCCUGAAUGAGUAGUCUCAGCCCUUCAAAGCUCACACAUGCGUAAAUUAGACAGGAAGGUGAAGGUUCAAGGAAGCCGAGUCUCUUCGUUUCUAAUUCCUGCCAUCUGGUGUGAAUCUAACUCCAGGGAGAAGCAGGCUGGCAGGUGACAGCUUCUUAGAGCAUGGCUGGUCUUUAGGACUGCCACCCAACCCUUUUCAGUGUAAUUGGUACAUGAAUUUACA